UACAGGGGGUGCAACCGUUGCUCGGAAUCAUUGGGCGUAAAGCGCACGUAGGUGGUCGUUUAAGUUGGAUGUGAAAGCCCUGGGCUCAACUCAGGAAGUGCAUCCAAAACUGAUCGGCUGGAGUACGAAAGAAGGUCGCGGAAUUCCCGGUGUAGAGGUGAAAUUCGUAGAUAUCAUGGGGAAUACCAAAAGCGAAGGCAGCAGAUUGGCGCACUCCUGACACUGAAACACGAAAGCGUGGGUAGCGAAUGGG
rnacentral:rRNA from 1 species